AUCCCAUAAUUUGGACACUUUCUCAUCAAUUCCUUGAAUCUGUUUCAUGCCUCAUAAUAACUUUCCCCAUCUUUCUAUUGAAAAGUUUGAAUUUCCGAUUGAAUUU
rnacentral:snoRNA from 1 species